CCUACGGGUGGCUGCAGUGGGGAAUAUUGGACAAUGGGCGAAAGCCUGAUCCAGCCAUGCCGCGUGUGUGAAGAAGGCCUUCGGGUUGUAAAGCACUUUCAGUUGGGAAGAAAGCCUUGGGGCUAAUACCCUCGAGGAAGGACAUCACCCACAGAAGAAGCACCGGCUAACUCCGUGCCAGCAGCCGCGGUAAUACGGAGGGUGCGAGCGUUAAUCGGAAUUACUGGGCGUAAAGCGCGCGUAGGCGGUCUGAUAAGCCGGUUGUGAAAGCCCCGGGCUCAACCUGGGAACGGCAUCCGGAACUGGCAGGCUAGAGUGCAGGAGAGGAAGGUAGAAUCCCCGGUGUAGCGGUGAAAGGCGUAGAGAACGGGAGGAAUACCAGUGGCGAAGGCGGCCUUCUGGACUGACACUGACGCUGAGGUGCGAAAGCGUGGGUAGCAAACAGGAUUAGAUACCCCAGUAGU
rnacentral:rRNA from 1 species